AAAAAUUCCCCCAAAAUGUGCUCUCUAGUUUUCAGAUCUGAUUUGAAAUUCAACAUUCGAGAACCCAAAAAAACAAUGGAAAACCUCUAUAAAAACCAAAAAACAAAUUGCAGAAAUAUUGUUCCAUUGAAAAAUUUUUAGUUAAUUUUGAACUUCAGCUUCUGAAUUGCAUCAUUUAGCCUAUAGUCUGUUUGCUGAUACAUUCUGGUGGUACCUAGGUGUAUCUGGAGUGGGUUUGGGUCCAACUGAGGCUAUUUUAGGCUGGUUUUGUUGACUAUUGGUUUCAGAAAUUGUCCUGGGAUUAGUUUUGAGUCUAUUUGGGUUUCUGCAAGUGUAUAUGGUAUACUACUGGUGCUGUUCUUCUAUAAAAAUAAUUCUGGGCUGCUCAUUCUAUUUUCUGAGCUAGUUUUAUCAACAAUUUGUUGUUGUUGACUCUCAUUCUUCUUGUUCUAUUUCAAAUACAGUUAUACACUUUGAAUUCACACUUAUGUAAUCACAAAUUUGAAUUAAAU
rnacentral:lncRNA from 1 species